UGGGCUCCUCCCGCUGCGGGCCGCCCGCCCGGACGCAAGGCACAGGGGGACGCCCCGCCGAGCCGCUGCCCACUGCACCGAGUUUUUCGGAGGCUGGGAGAGGAAAUGCCACUUGGAUUUUAAAACCGUCACCGAUACGCUAUAGCCCUGCUUUCUCUACCUCCAGUCGUUUUCUGAGGACCGGCUUGGUGGGUGCUGAUGCCUGCCUGGAAGACCUCACACCCACAGUGUCUUAGAAGAUUCUGAAAGCAGUGUGAGACCAGAAUGACCAGCAAAGGAGAAAAGAACAAGGACACAUUGCAGCCAAAAUGGAGCUAGAAUCUUGCCUCUGUCCAUCCUUCACUGGAGUUAUCCUGGAUGGAGAAGGAACCAUAUCACCUGCAAAGCCUGGAAGGGGAGCCCUGCUGUGAGGUGAGCCAGUAAGUCUGUGAGUUCAGGAGGGAGCACACGCUUGUCUGUCCAUCUGUUCAUGAGCAGGCGCUCUUGAGUCUUCCUAAAUAUUGCCCAGAGCUCUCCAUCCAGAUACUGUCCUUUCCCUUCCUCUCCAUUGAUGGUCUCCAAGCCUUUCUUAGCUUUCAUCUUCCCCUAAGGAUUCCUUCUCCCAAAGCUCCAGCCCAUUCCAAUGUCAACUGCAUUCGUUGUUUUUGUUACUCUCAUUGUGUCAAAUGGGUUCUUUCCUAUGCAACUAGAUUGUAGGUUGCUCCAAGGUAAACACCGUGAUUUCUAGUUCCUUUGUUUCUACCACUGCAGGACUGUAGGAAGCCCAGUUGUAGGCAUCACUAGGACUCAGUAAUUACAUAAUUGCUCAGAUAAUUGAGAGAAUGAUUGAUUGAUUAGUGGUCAUUAAUGCCAUAAAAUGAAGGAAUUUCGCCCCUCACAUUUUCAAGAACCUAUGAGUUCGAAGAGACCUGAAAGAACAUUUUUAUGGGAGCCUACACCAGUGCUAUCACCUAAAGUGCGUGACCUUAGGGAAGUUGCUUCACCCCUUGUUUCUGUGCCUCCAAAAUACUGGUGUUAAUACAGUAAUUUCUGAUUCCUUCCACCUGUGCCCUGCUCAGCGAUCCAGUGUUCAAGCUGGUCAUCAGGAGAAAGCUACUUAUGAUUUCCUAACAAGCCACCACAGAACAUCACAUUCCCAAACAUGCUCUUCACCGUCCCUGCUGUCCCCACGUGCCUAGCCCUGGUGUGGGCAGGAAUGAGUGGGAUUGGGAUGUUUUCUCACAGGUCUUUCUCAGGUGAGGCCCCAGGCUGUGACCAGGCCCCUGCCCUGCAUGUGACUCAGGCCUAGCCCCUGCUGGGGCAGGAAUGCCACCCAGCACAGCAUCCUACUGGUGCCUGAAUAAAGAAUGGACUGGAGGUUCACCUGAAAGGGGCUGCCAGGUUUCUGCGGGGGCCAGCCAACGGCUCACAAUGACCCUGUGUUCGACUCAUCUUACGAUGAAAUUUUUCAGCUUGACGAACUUUUACUCAUCUUUCAAGGCUCGGCUCAAAUGUUAUUUCCCUGGGAAAACUGCGCUACUUUCAGCAAAAUGCAUUUCCUUUUGAUGGGCAUCUGUUUUUUUCUUUCUUUCUUUCUUUCUUUUUUUUUUUUUUUUUUUUUUUU
rnacentral:lncRNA from 1 species